UACGGAGGGGGCGAGCGUUAUUCGGAAUUACUGGGCGUAAAGGGCGCGUAGGCGGUGUGUCAAGUCAGGCGUGAAAGCCCCGGGCUCAACCUGGGAACCGCGCUUGAGACUGGCACGCUAGAGUUCGGGAGAGGAUGGUGGAAUUCCCAGUGUAGAGGUGAAAUUCGUAGAUAUUGGGAAGAACACCGGUGGCGAAGGCGGUCUGCUGGGGUCGAACUGACGCUGAGGCGCGACAGCGUGGGGAGCAAACAGG
rnacentral:rRNA from 1 species